rnacentral:rRNA from 1 species
GAGGGUUUGAUCCUGGCUCAGAUUGAACGCUGGCGGCAGGCCUAACACAUGCAAGUCGAGCGGAUGAAGGGAGCUUGCUCCUGGAUUCAGCGGCGGACGGGUGAGUAAUGCCUAGGAAUCUGCCUGGUAGUGGGGGAUAACGUCCGGAAACGGGCGCUAAUACCGCAUACGUCCUGAGGGAGAAAGUGGGGGAUCUUCGGACCUCACGCUAUCAGAUGAGCCUAGGUCGGAUUAGCUAGUUGGUGGGGUAAAGGCCUACCAAGGCGACGAUCCGUAACUGGUCUGAGAGGAUGAUCAGUCACACUGGAACUGAGACACGGUCCAGACUCCUACGGGAGGCAGCAGUGGGGAAUAUUGGACAAUGGGCGAAAGCCUGAUCCAGCCAUGCCGCGUGUGUGAAGAAGGUCUUCGGAUUGUAAAGCACUUUAAGUUGGGAGGAAGGGCAGUAAGUUAAUACCUUGCUGUUUUGACGUUACCAACAGAAUAAGCACCGGCUAACUUCGUGCCAGCAGCCGCGGUAAUACGAAGGGUGCAAGCGUUAAUCGGAAUUACUGGGCGUAAAGCGCGCGUAGGUGGUUCAGCAAGUUGGAUGUGAAAUCCCCGGGCUCAACCUGGGAACUGCAUCCAAAACUACUGAGCUAGAGUACGGUAGAGGGUGGUGGAAUUUCCUGUGUAGCGGUGAAAUGCGUAGAUAUAGGAAGGAACACCAGUGGCGAAGGCGACCACCUGGACUGAUACUGACACUGAGGUGCGAAAGCGUGGGGAGCAAACAGGAUUAGAUACCCUGGUAGUCCACGCCGUAAACGAUGUCGACUAGCCGUUGGGAUCCUUGAGAUCUUAGUGGCGCAGCUAACGCGAUAAGUCGACCGCCUGGGGAGUACGGCCGCAAGGUUAAAAC